rnacentral:rRNA from 1 species
GAUGAACGCUGGCGGCGUGCCUAAUACAUGCAAGUCGAGCGAACAGACGAGGAGCUUGCUCCUCUGACGUUAGCGGCGGACGGGUGAGUAACACGUGGAUAACCUACCUAUAAGACUGGGAUAACUUCGGGAAACCGGAGCUAAUACCGGAUAAUAUAUUGAACCGCAUGGUUCAAUAGUGAAAGACGGUUUUGCUGUCACUUAUAGAUGGAUCCGCGCCGCAUUAGCUAGUUGGUAAGGUAACGGCUUACCAAGGCAACGAUGCGUAGCCGACCUGAGAGGGUGAUCGGCCACACUGGAACUGAGACACGGUCCAGACUCCUACGGGAGGCAGCAGUAGGGAAUCUGCCGCAAUGGGCGAAAGCUUGACGGAGCAACGCCGCGUGAGUGAUGAAGGUCUUCGGAUCGUAAAACUCUGUUAUUAGGGAAGAACAAAUGUGUAAGUAACGAUGCACGUCUUGACGGUACCUAAGCAGAAAGCCACGGCUAACUACGU